AAUGAUAGGUUUACUUCUAUUCCUUAUACUAAAGCUGCAUCUUUAGAAAAGAAGAUUAAUUUUUUCACCUCUUCUGUUCGAAAAUACAGUGCUUCUUUGAAGGUAGAGUAUGAGAUGGACUCAUAGAACUUGGAGAACUAACAAAAGGCCCAUGAGCAGAUGGAACAGAGGACAGACAUUUUUCUUCAUGGUAUCAGCAAAAACAGACAACAGGAAGUUGAGUCAAACAAGACCAGAUUCCCUUUAUGACAGCAACCUGAUGGUCAGAGGAUACGCAUUAAGUUUCCCAAGGUUACUGCUGCCAACAGAAGGCUUCCAGUUUGAUUUCUGUAUUGGAUCACAACUCCAAAAUGGAAGGCAGUUUUAGGCCCUGCCUUAUUAUGCCAAAUGUAUGAAAUUCAAGAGUAUAAUCCAAAGGAAUAUUCAGAAGUUGCUGAAUAAUGUCUCUUUUUCAUGGUAAAUUAAAGGGAUAAAAAAUUUUGAAAUACUUCAUAGACCUAAAUGGUAAGAUGAGACUUUGGCAAAUACUUGGAUAAAUAUGACAUUUCUUUCUCCAUCACCUAAAACAAGAAUAGUUCCAAUUUCAUCUUUUUUCAUUCUCUUUUAAGUCCAACCUACAGCGGACUGCUUGGGCAGGGGCCCAACUCUGUUUCCAAGCUAACUCAACAGAUCUCCUCAGCAGUCUGUUCUAAUUGCAACCUACAGGAGAGCACUCUAAUUUUAAAGGACUUUAGAACAAGACCUCAUUUUUACAUUUUCACAUUUCAUGAGUUGACUUUUACCACAUUAAGCCAAUGGGCUUUUUAAAUCUUAAGGAGGAAAGCGACAGUUUGAAAUUAUAAUAAAUUAUCAUCGAUGUUUAUUUAAAUUUUAGAU
rnacentral:lncRNA from 1 species